rnacentral:rRNA from 1 species
CUACUGGGGUAUCUAAUCCUGUUUGCUCCCCUAGCUUUCGUUCCUCAGCGUCAGUAGUGGUCCAGCGCGCCGCUUUCGCCACGGGUGUUCCUGCAGAUAUCUACGCAUUUCACCGCUACACCUGCAAUUCCACGCGCCUCUCCCACACUCAAGCACGGCAGUUUCGGAAGCAGCCUCUGGGUUGAGCCCAGAGAUUUCACUCCCGACUUGCCACACCGCCUACGAACCCUUUACACCCAGUAAUUCCGAACAACGCUGGCCCCCUACGUCUUACCGCGGCUGCUGGCAC